rnacentral:rRNA from 1 species
UACGGGGGGGGGCAAGCGUUGUUCGGAAUUACUGGGCGUAAAGGCUCGUAGGCGGCCAACUAAGUCAGACGUGAAAUCCCUCGGCUUAACCGGGGAACUGCGUCUGAUACUGGAUGGCUUGAGUUUGGGAGAGGGAUGCGGAAUUCCAGGUGUAGCGGUGAAAUGCGUAGAUAUCUGGAGGAACACCGGUGGCGAAGGCGGCAUCCUGGACCAACACUGACGCUGAGUGAGCGAAAGCCAGGGGGAGCAAAACGGG